rnacentral:rRNA from 1 species
UGGGGAAUUUUGGACAAUGGGCGAAAGCCUGAUCCAGCAAUGCCGCGUGCAGGAAGAAGGCCUUCGGGUUGUAAACUGCUUUUGUACGGAACGAAACGGCUCUUUCUAAUAAAGAGGGCUAAUGACGGUACCGUAAGAAUAAGCACCGGCUAACUACGUG